GUGCUCACUUUGGCAGCACAUAUACUACAAUUUGAACAAUGCAGAGAAGAUUAGCAUGGCCCCUGCAAGGAUGACAUGCAAAUUUAUGAAGUGUUCCAUAUUAAA